UGCUACUGCUGUGGCUGCAAAGUAUUUCAAUCUGGACACAUAUCUAAUUCUACGCACUUCAAAGGUCCUUGUGAAUCAAGACCCUGGAUUGACUGGAAAUCUCCUUGUUGAGCGGUUAGUUGGAGCUCAUGUCGAACUUAUCUCAAAAGAAGAUCAGGCACUAACAGAUUUUCUGAAGUCAAAAUUAGUUGCUGAAGGAAGAAAGCCAUAUGUUAUUCCUGUUGGAGGAUCAAAUUCCCUUGGAACUUGGGGUUACAUUGAAGCAAUUAGG
rnacentral:misc_RNA from 1 species